UGUAACCUAGUAGUCAUACAGAAAAGUUAAAUAACAAUUAAAAAGACUCGGAAAAUUUUUGUAUGAUUAUAAUGGCAUUCAAAUUGAGAGACGUCCACUGGGAAGUUAUGUUUAAUUAUUUUGAAAUGUAUCCUUCGAUGGCAACAGGGAAUUUCAAAGGUAUUCAAGGCAGAGAUGAAAACAGAAACGUGGAAUGAUUUAACGAUAAGAUUAAAUGCACUUGGUUGUGGAGAGAGAUCUGUAGAUAAAUGGAAAAAGGAUAGAUUUCAAAUGCUUAUUGAAAAAAAAAGCUAGUAAAUUACAAAGAGAGCAAGCUCUUACCGGUGGAGGAUUAGGAGACACGACAACUUAAUCAAUUUGAAACAAGAGCCCUACAAUUAUUAGGUACGAGUUUCCAUAAAGGUGUUAGGUGUUGGCUGUCCUGAAGUAGGUUUUACAGUUAAAAACACUACAACUCCUCAGCUAGUCUUGACACAAAUUGAGACAGCGGAGACCACAGAUGUAGAAGCAGAAGAGGAAGAAAAUUAUUGACAGAUGAUAUUGUCCCUCCACUCCCACCAACGUUCAAGUCAGUUGCAUCUACUAGUCACAUUAAUUGCGAGGAGCAUAAUUACACAAAGCGCGAUUCAAAAAGAAAACGAAAUUCAACAGAAAACACAUAUUUAGAAACUAUUACAAUUUUACAAGAAAUAAAAAAUGUAAUAGACCUACGAUUAGGUGAAGUUGUGACAAGUCUAAAUAAAUUAACUGAAGUUA